CCAAACUUUCUGUCAUACUAAUGUCUUGACCUCCGGCCAUUCUAAAAGAAGGACAAAAAUGACCCUAUAAGAGGUAAUAUUGGUUUAUAGGAGUGUAAUCCACAACCUAUAAAAUGCCUUAAGAAUUUCAAGAAGAGGGGUAAUCCACUCUCUCCAAGAAGAAUAAGACUCCAAUAUUGUAACAGAAGAAGUAUCAGUUUAGAGGAGGGUAAUCCGCAACCUCUAAAAAAUGCUAGUAUACCUUCAAGUAGAGGGGUAAUCCACACUCUACUAAGAAAGAACUAGCUCUGAUAUCUCAAGUUAGUGUAGUCUCGACGAACUGUCACGGACACAAAAUAUAGACCUGAAAUCUAAUAAGAAGUUCAAGAAGAAGUGGCAAAACUAGAUUAAACAGAUGAGUACAAGAACAACACCAGAAAGGUGAGCUAGAACUCCAAGAGAUGUG
rnacentral:lncRNA from 1 species